UGGGGAUGACGUCAAAGUCAUCAUGCCCCUUAUGUCUUGGGCUUCACGCAUGCUACAAUGGCCGGUACAAAGGGCUGCGAUACCGCGAGGUGGAGCGAAUCCCAGAAAGCCGGUCUCAGUUCGGAUUGGGUCUGCAACUCGACCCCAUGAAGUCGGAGUCGCUAGUAAUCGCAGAUCAGCAACGCUGCGGUGAAUACGUUCCCGGGCCUU
rnacentral:rRNA from 1 species